rnacentral:rRNA from 1 species
AACGAACGCUGGCGGCAUGCCUAACACAUGCAAGUCGAACGAAGCCUUCGGGCUUAGUGGCGCACGGGUGCGUAACGCGUGGGAAUUUGCCCUUGGGUUCGGAAUAACAGUUAGAAAUGACUGCUAAUACCGAAUGAUGUCUUCGGACCAAAGAUUUAUCGCCCAAGGAUGAGCCCGCGUCGGAUUAGCUGGUUGGUGAGGUAAAGGCUCACCAAGGCGACGAUCCGUAGCUGGUCUGAGAGGAUGAUCAGCCACACUGGGACUGAGACACGGCCCAGACUCCUACGGGAGGCAGCAGUGGGGAAUAUUGGACAAUGGCGAAAGCCUGAUCCAGCAAUGCCGCGUGAGUGAUGAAGGCCUUAGGGUUGUAAAGCUCUUUUACCCGGGAUGAUAAUGACAGUACCGGGAGAUAAGCCCCGGCUAACUCCGUGCCAGCAGCCGCGGUAAU